rnacentral:rRNA from 1 species
AGUGAACGCUGGCGAUAGGCCUAACACAUGCAAGUCGAACGGCAGCACAGUAAGAGCUUGCUCUUACGGGUGGCGAGUGGCGGACGGGUGAGGAAUACAUCGGAAUCUACUUUUUCGUGGGGGAUAACGUAGGGAAACUUACGCUAAUACCGCAUACGACCUACGGGUGAAAGCAGGGGAUCUUCGGACCUUGCGCGAUUGAAUGAGCCGAUGUCGGAUUAGCUAGUUGGCGGGGUAAAGGCCCACCAAGGCGACGAUCCGUAGCUGGUCUGAGAGGAUGAUCAGCCACGCUGGAACUGAGACACGGUCCAGACUCCUACGGGAGGCAGCAGUGGGGAAUAUUGGACAAUGGGCGCAAGCCUGAUCCAGCCAUACCGCGUGGGUGAAGAAGGCCUUCGGGUUGUAAAGCCCUUUUGUUGGGAAAGAAAAGCAGCAGGUUAAUACCCCGCUGUUCUGACGGUACCCAAAGAAUAAGCACCGGCUAACUUCGUG